AACUCGCACAGGAAACGAUGGACAAAAAUGCUGUCAGAAGACGACAAAAUGUGUUGUGCAUAUACUUCUCAGGAUUUUUGGACCUGUUUGGGGUUAGCAUGCUCCUUCCUCUCAUAUCAACACACACCAAGGAAUUAGGAGCCACGCCUACAAUAACAGGGAUCAUAGGAUCAACAUACGGUGCCUUACAGCUGUUCUCCAGUCCAAUUGUGGUAAGUUCAUUGUAACAUACAUGUAACAAUGCAGCAAAACAGUUUCAAAUUGAAUGGGUAAAGUUAAAGUGUACAUAAAGAUGUAUAUACCAUAUGAUGGUUUCAUUAAUAUUCCUGGGCAUCAUUUGUUUGUGGAUAUAGUAAAAAUCACAGUUUUAACAAUAAGUAAAUUUUUGCCCUGCAUAAUUUUAUCAAUAAAAUAUGUUAUUAGAUAUUGCCUUUCAGUGACCAUUCAAUUGUGUGGAUAAACACAACAAGAAAUCCAGGAAAAAAUGGUGUUAAGCAAAUAUUGAUGAAACCACGGUGACAGUAUACAUGUAUGACUGUUAUAUAUUACAAGACCAGUGUAGUGAUGAUGUGUAUAUAAUCAUGCAUGUAUGACUAUUCUGUGUUACAGGGCCAGUGGAGUGAUGGUGUGGGGAGAAAGUUCUGCCUCCUGUUCUGUUUGCUGGCCUCGGCGGGGGGAUAUUUCCUCCUCAGUUUCUCCACCACUCUCAUUCUUCUGCUGGUCUCAAGAAUUCCUACAGGAAUUUUCAAGCACAGUCAGAGCGUGUCAAGGUCAUACCUGGCGGAGGUGACCCCCCAGCCUGACCAGUCGGGGGUUCUGGGGACGUUCAAUGCCGCCUCCAGUAUGGGGUUUAUCCUGGGGCCCAUGGUGGGGGGAAGGCUGGCAGAGACCAGUGGCGGUUUCUACAAAGUGGCUUUACUGUGUACUGUGAUAUUUGUACUCAAUGCAGUUUUGGUGUGGGCAGCUGUCAGUGACAAAGUUUCAAAUGUGUCAAGAAAAGACAAUCCUUCGAUGGGGACCAACUCAAAGGAUUCCAUAACAAAGCCAAACAUAGGAGAAGACAGCUUUAGUCUGAAGCAGAUGAUCCAGUCCUUCCGAACGUUUGACUGGAAAAACCUUUGGGACUUAUUUCUCAUCAAAUUCUGUCUCGGGUUUUCUAUCCUUCUUUACAGAAGUAACUUUUCAUUGACAAUGAAUGAGAAAUUCCAGAUGUCGCCCAGCAGUAUAGGGAAUCUGACGUCAUACUCCGCAACCGUGGCGGCACUCAGUGGAUUUCUUGUGGGGAGAAUCUCAAAAGUGUUUAGAAGUGACGCACAGAUUGUGUUCUAUAUGGCAGCAUUUCAAGCCUUAACGUUACUUUCGUUAAGUUUAGUGAAUGACAUACGACUGUAUGUCAUCUGUUUUACACCUGUAAGUCUCAUUUCUACAAUGUUGCGAGUUGCCGCCAUUAGUUUGACGAUACAACGUUGUGGCGGGAAAAAUGUCGGAGGAAUUAUGGGUAUGAGUCAGAGUGUGAUGUCAUUAGCGCGCAUGCUCUCGCCCUUCAUUUCCGGUCUAGUAAUGGAAGUCAGUGUUUCAGGAACUGCAUUGGUUGGAUCCUUUGCAUCAAGCAUUGCUGUGAUAAUAAUGAUAAUACGCUCACAAGAGCCUAAAAUUAACACAGAAAAAAAGGUGCAAUGAAAUUCUUUAAUAUAUACAUGUAUAUUUAU
rnacentral:misc_RNA from 1 species